rnacentral:rRNA from 1 species
AGAGACAGCAGCAGCCGCGGUAAAACGAAGGGUGCAGCGUUAAUCGGAAUUACUGGGCGUAAAGCGUGCGUAGGCGGUUUGUUAAGUCUGUUGUGAAGUCCCCGGGCUCAACCUGGGAAUGGCAAUGGAUACUGGCAAGCUAGAGUGUGUCAGAGGAUGGUGGAAUUCCCGGUGUAGCGGUGAAAUGCGUAGAGAUCGGGAGGAACAUCAGUGGCGAAGGCGGCCAUCUGGGACAACACUGACGCUGAGGCACGAAAGCGUGGGGAGCAAACAGGAUUAGAUACCCCAGUAGUCCCUGUCUCUUAUACA